ACAAUAAUCAUAGUAUUUAUUACAUAGCGAAAGUCUUAUUACAAAUAAAAGAUAAAUAUAAAACGAACUAAGGAUCAUCCUUGGCGCAAGAGUCAACUGAGGAAACGCCACCUAGAUCAGAUCAAACUCCUCGCUUUGUGGCUCCUCCUGAACCACCUGUUCUUCUCCUGUGGGGGCGUGAGACAGCAAGGGUGAGCUCACACAUGAUUAUAGCUCAACAAGUUGUGGGGAACCAGUGGCAUGAACUCACCAAAGGUGGGAGUUCAUGUGAUGUGUAAGGCUAGUCAACAACAAGGGUUAAAGCUGAGCAUUGCUUUUAAGUAGUUGGUCAAAAUUUUAUUUGCAGUUACUAAAUGUAAGUAAAUACCAAACCUUAAUAAAAAUAAUGGAACAAAAUUAAUAAAUAAUCCCAUGCAAUGCAAAUGACAACUUGAAUUUAAGUUUCAUAAAUUAAUCAUGCGAGAGUCCUGAGCUCGGCUAAUAUACCAGUUUUACACUCUGCAGAGGUUGUACCCUGUACCCACAAGUCGUGUAUCCCAUGUCGCCAGGGUUAGCUAGACCCUUAGACACUAUCGAGGUGAAUGGCUAGGGAUCCACUACGAGGCCUUUACAAAGUUCCACUAGCUUCCGAAAACCCGCUACAGUUUAUGGGAAAAGCACUUGCAAGAAUCCCCCGUCUGACCGCCAUUGCAGCAAAAUCAACCCGAGAACCUCCUUGCAUGCAAUCCCCUACUGCCCUUGCCCCUUUCGGGUAAGGUAGUCUUCCACUAGCUUUCCUAAUUAGUCAGCCAAGGGCGUCCCAUUCCACCCUUGUGGUGGCACGUGUUUCUCAAGUUAAGCUCCAUGUUCCAAUUAACAUUAAUGAUCUUGAUAUGAACAUAAAUAGAAUAACAAAAUAAUUGGAACAAGGAUAUAAUGAAAUAUUAUCCCAAAACCAUAUAAAGCAAUAGAGAAACUACCCAAGUGAUUCAGAGGUAAACAAGGUAAACAAGAUAAACAGACUAGGGUGACCUAUUGGGUCCCAUCAAAAUUAAACCUAUGCAUUGAAUAGUGAUAAUAAAUAAUAUUAUUGGGUAACAAAAGUGAAUCAAGGGCACAACUUGCCUGGUACUUGAGAUUCCAGAUAUAAGGGCGAUUCUUCAGAUCCUCGAAACCUCACUACUAGUCGUAGCAAUACAAACAAACAUGGUAUAGACAAAAUUAACAUCACACCAAACAUAAGAAUAAACUGCAUAAUAAUGAUCUACACGUCUCUACGAGAUCGUGAGAACGAGAACCACUAAAAUCGGAGCUACGGUUAUAGAGUUAUGAUUUUAUGUAGUUAUUAAGUACCUAGAAUAGAGUAAUUCAUGUGAAUAAUUUUAAAUCAAGUUUCAUGGUUAGAUAAAGGUACUAGGUGAUAAACAAUACUUAAACAAAAUUAAUUCCACUGGAAUGAAUCAAUUUGGAGUAAUGGAUUUUAAGUUAUGAAUUUCUAAAGGUUUUAUGUAUUUGAUACAAGAUUGAUUAAGAGAUACAUUUUAAUAUGGUUUUUAUGUCAAAACAGUGGUACUAGAUGAUGACAAUAAUAUUACAAACUUAUAGGAACUGGAAUUGACUAAUUUGGACUUAAUAUGAAUUUUGUAUGAAUUAAUCAAAUUCUAGCAUUUAUUUUUGCAUUCAAAAUAAUUUUCUAAUUCCUUUUUCUGGAUUUUAUAAUCCUCUGGAUUGGGCCUCGAUUAUCAGAGAAGACAGGGUCACAAGUGUAAAACAACCGAGACACAAACAGCACCCCCUUGGAUGGCGGGUUUACUCCUAGAAACUCACGGGUUCUUUUAUAAAUGUACGAGGCCGAAGGGUUACGGUUAACUCUCGUCCACUCGAUCCGCUAAGGACGGCACAGAUUAGAUUGGAUCACAUCUAAACCGGUAUCUAACACUCACCAUCCGAUCUAAAAUCUACGGUGCCAGGCGUUCCACACCAACUUCUAAUCUGGAGCUCCUGGACACGAUCCAACGGUCGAAAAUGAAUCGGUAAGCCACAUCUAAUCUCGCCCGCUCAGAUCAAGAUCGACGGCCAUGCGUGCUUCUUCCCCCGCGGCAGUCUGCAAGCGCCGGAGCGCGCUCGACGCGGCGGCCGCCAUGACAGAGCUGACCAAAUCGGCGCCCCUGUGCCCCAAUUCGUAAGCCCCUACACGCAACGCAGUACGGAGAUCAUGGCGAGUCGGUAGAGGGUUUCCUUACCGGGAAUCAUGGUGUAGAGAGUCCCGUCCACGGUGACAUAUGGCCCCGCGACGGCAGAGCAGCUCCUAUGAGAAAUUGGUAGAGGUCCACCGGCGCGCCGCGGUUAUCAGGUCGCCACCACUGUCGCGAGCGCCGAGCUAUACUCCAGUGCCCACCAGAGCACCCCGAACCGCAACCAGUGCACGAAUCUCUACGGCGGCGGCGGAGCUCGGUCUCCCUGGUGUCGUGCCUCCUCGGCCGAAUCGAG
rnacentral:lncRNA from 1 species